UCUCCUUCACACGCAAAACUCAGCUUUUCCUCUUUCCUUGUUCACGUCAGAGUUGGACAGAGAAAAAGGGAGCCUCGUUCAGCUCUUCCCCUCCACGUUUCCAUCAUGCAAAGGGCAACUCCUCCAAGAACAUCAUCUCAGACCUUCAAAAGAGAGAACCCAGGCCAUAAAUCGUCAUUCACCCUUCUCUUCUCACCUUUCCUCUCGUCCCUGGACACAUCAGUCCGUUUACGAGCCUCGAAACACCUAGUUCGAGAUCUCCGAUCAGAAAACGUUCUUCAUCAAAGUUGUUCGCCUAUGUCUCCUCUAUCUAGCCUCCAAAUUUCAGCUCCAUCGGAAUUGAUUUGAGACCUGUACACCCAUCGAAGCGGAAGCUGUUCCUGAACAAGCCUGUUCCGGAUUUCUGCUUAAACUUCCUCUCUUGCUCUACCCGAAUCCCCAACACCUUGCUUGAGACUGAUACCAACAGUUGUCUCUGUUUCACUUUGCAUGUUCGAGACUGAGCAAACUUCUUGGCCUGUGGCUGGACUCGAUCCAAUCAGCUCCUUCAGCUCUCUUUCCUGUUGAAAUCCUCAAGAGAAGCUCAUCUUUUUUUGUUAGUUUUUGGCUUGACAUCGUGGUGGAAUCUUGUGAAGUGGUGGUUGCUACAAGGUUGCAUUGAGGCCUAGUGCUGCAAGAGAAAGCUCGAGUUCCAGGUAGGGGAUGCCUUUAACUCUAUCUAUGCUUUUCUUGCAUAUACUAUGUUUUAUAUGAGGCCUCUUGCAUGGUUUUUGGAAAUUAUCUGUUUUACAAUUGAAAUGGUUUGCGUGGAUUGGAUUGAUGUGUUGGCAAUUGAUGGGGAUGUAAGGAGAGGUCAGUUCCUCCUUGAGCCACCGGUGGUGGGCAGUGUGCACCAUGCCCUUGUUAUCUCCCCUUUGUCUCUAGCCUUGUGAUUAAUGAAUUCCGGAAAGUGAUUGGCUAGAUGGACGGUUGUGAUGGAAGUGUGAAAGAUGAUCAAUUGCCGUGGGAUUGUAGUUACGUGGUGACGAUCACGUGGAAGCGCAAACCGGUUUUAUCUACUUCUUUUAUUCAAAACAAUAACUCAUGUUUUUAAACUUAGAUAUGGGGGCGGGCAUGGGCAAUGACUGGAUGUAGGAGCCUAACCCCUACUUUAGUUUGUUUUGCAGGCUGUUGUUGUUGAAGCUUGGGCACGGAGGAUAAUCCUUGGAGGACACAAUUUGUUUUACUCUAUUUAAAGUUUAUUUCCUUUCGGCUUGCUUGAUUUCACUAAAGUUUUGUAACAUUAUGUAUGGUUGAUGAUGUGUGUGAUUGCUUACCACCAAUGUGGAACCCUAGGGUUAGAACCUCCAUUUGAAUUUAGGUCCUAGUGGGCUAGACCUAGAAGACUCACAUAAAUUACCAUUUAAUGAACUUAAUGCAAACUUGGGGCUAAGAACUAAAAAUUGACAUAGGUUCUAAAACUCAACUCAACACCACCUUCCUUUCCUCUUAUUCGCCUAGUUCGUAAUCUUGUGAUUACGAGCCAAGCCCACUAUACAAGCCCAAGAAUUUCGGGCUUAUAGAUUUCUUGCUUUCCAACCUAAAGGCCUUGUCUCUUUGAGGAAUUCUAGGCCCAAAACACUUGCUUGCUCCAAGUGUCGCGGGAGUAGGGUUCCUUGGGGAGGCGGCGCUGUGGUAAUCCGGUCUCCGGGUCGCCACAGAAAAGAUGGUAUCAGAGCAUAACGGUUCUGAUGGACCUUGAACUUAAAACCUUUUCGUUGUGUGAAGUUUGAAGGAUUGUCUUUAAUCCUUGUUAAUAUUAUCAA